rnacentral:rRNA from 1 species
GACGAACCGUGCGAACGUUAUUCGGAAUCACUGGGCUUAAGGCGCGUGUAGGCGGAUGGGAACGUCGGUAGUUGAAAAGCCCCCGCUCACCGGGGAAGUGGUGCCGAAACGCCCGUCUGGAGGGACGUAGGGGGGACCUGGAACUUCCGGUGGAGCGUGAAAUGCGUUGAGAUCGGAAGGAACGCCCGUGGCGAAAGCGAGUCCU